rnacentral:rRNA from 1 species
GGUUAAGCGACUAAGCGUACACGGUGGAUGCCCUGGCAGUCAGAGGCGAUGAAGGACGUGCUAAUCUGCGAAAAGCGUCGGUAAGGUGAUAUGAACCGUUACAGCCGGCGAUGUCCGAAUGGGGAAACCCAGUGCAAUUCGUUGCACUAUCGUUAACUGAAUACAUAGGUUAACGAGGCGAACCGGGGGAACUGAAACAUCUAAGUACCCCGAGGAAAAGAAAUCAACCGAGAUUCCCCCAGUAGCGGCGAGCGAACGGGGAGCAGCCCGGAGUCUGAAUCAGCUUGUGUGUUAGUGGAAGCGUCUGGAAAGUCGCAGGGUACAGGGUGAUACUCCCGUACACUAAAACACACAGGCUGUGAACUCGAAGAGUAGGGCGGGACACGUGGUAUCCUGUCUGAAUAUGGGGGGACCAUCCUCCAAGGCUAAAUACUCCUGACUGACCGAUAGUGAACCAGUACCGUGAGGGAAAGGCGAAAAGAACCCCGGCGAGGGGAGUGAAAAAGAACCUGAAACCGUGUACGUACAAGCAGUAGGAGCCCACUAGUUGGGUGACUGCGUACCUUUUGUAUAAUGGGUCAGCGACUUAUAUUCUGUAGCAAGGUUAACCGAAUAGGGGAGCCGCAGGGAAACCGAGUCUUAACUGGGCGUUAAGUUGCAGGGUAUAGACCCGAAACCCGGUGAUCUAGCCAUGGGCAGGUUGAAGGUUGGGUAACACUAACUGGAGGACCGAACCGACUAAUGUUGAAAAAUUAGCGGAUGACUUGUGGCUGGGGGUGAAAGGCCAAUCAAACCGGGAGAUAGCUGGUUCUCCCCGAAAGCUAUUUAGGUAGCGCCUCGUGAACUCAUCUUCGGGGGUAGAGCACUGUUUCGGCUAGGGGGUCAUCCCGACUUACCAACCCGAUGCAAACUACGAAUACCGAAGAAUGUUAUCACGGGAGACACACGGCGGGUGCUAACGUCCGUCGUGAAGAGGGAAACAACCCAGACCGCCAGCUAAGGUCCCAAAGUCAUGGUUAAGUGGGAAACGAUGUGGGAAGGCCCAGACAGCCAGGAUGUUGGCUUAGAAGCAGCCAUCAUUUAAAGAAAGCGUAAUAGCUCACUGGUCGAGUCGGCCUGCGCGGAAGAUGUAACGGGGCUAAACCAUGCACCGAAGCUGCGGCAGCGACGCUUAUGCGUUGUUGGGUAGGGGAGCGUUCUGUAAGCCGUUGAAGGUGGCCUGUGAGGGUUGCUGGAGGUAUCAGAAGUGCGAAUGCUGACAUAAGUAACGAUAAUGCGGGUGAAAAACCCGCACGCCGGAAGACCAAGGGUUCCUGUCCAACGUUAAUCGGGGCAGGGUGAGUCGACCCCUAAGGCGAGGCCGAAAGGCGUAGUCGAUGGGAAACAGGUUAAUAUUCCUGUACUUGGUGUUACUGCGAAGGGGGGACGGAGAAGGCUAUGUUGGCCGGGCGACGGUUGUCCCGGUUUAAGCAUGUAGGCGGAUGUUCCAGGUAAAUCCGGAACGUUAUUAACGCUGAGGUGUGAUGACGAGGCACUACGGUGCUGAAGUGACAAAUGCCCUGCUUCCAGGAAAAGCCUCUAAGCAUCAGGUAACAUCAAAUCGUACCCCAAACCGACACAGGUGGUCAGGUAGAGAAUACCAAGGCGCUUGAGAGAACUCGGGUGAAGGAACUAGGCAAAAUGGUGCCGUAACUUCGGGAGAAGGCACGCUGAUGGUAAGUGAAGUGACUUGCUCAUGGAGCUGAAAUCAGUCGAAGAUACCAGCUGGCUGCAACUGUUUAUUAAAAACACAGCACUGUGCAAACACGAAAGUGGACGUAUACGGUGUGACGCCUGCCCGGUGCCGGAAGGUUAAUUGAUGGGGUUAUCCUCGCGGAGAAGCUCUUGAUCGAAGCCCCGGUAAACGGCGGCCGUAACUAUAACGGUCCUAAGGUAGCGAAAUUCCUUGUCGGGUAAGUUCCGACCUGCACGAAUGGCGUAAUGAUGGCCAGGCUGUCUCCACCCGAGACUCAGUGAAAUUGAACUCGCUGUGAAGAUGCAGUGUACCCGCGGCAAGACGGAAAGACCCCGUGAACCUUUACUAUAGCUUGACACUGAACACUGGUCCUUGAUGUGUAGGAUAGGUGGGAGGCUUUGAAGUGUGGACGCCAGUCUGCAUGGAGCCGUCCUUGAAAUACCACCCUUUAAUGGCUGGUGUUCUAACGUGGGCCCGUGAUCCGGGUUGCGGACAGUGUCUGGUGGGUAGUUUGACUGGGGCGGUCUCCUCCUAAAGAGUAACGGAGGAGCACGAAGGUCAGCUAAUCCUGGUCGGACAUCAGGAGGUUAGUGCAAUGGCAUAAGCUGGCUUGACUGCGAGCGUGACGGCGCGAGCAGGUGCGAAAGCAGGUCAUAGUGAUCCGGUGGUUCUGAAUGGAAGGGCCAUCGCUCAACGGAUAAAAGGUACUCCGGGGAUAACAGGCUGAUACCGCCCAAGAGUUCAUAUCGACGGCGGUGUUUGGCACCUCGAUGUCGGCUCAUCACAUCCUGGGGCUGAAGUAGGUCCCAAGGGUAUGGCUGUUCGCCAUUUAAAGUGGUACGCGAGCUGGGUUUAGAACGUCGUGAGACAGUUCGGUCCCUAUCUGCCGUGGGCGCUGGAGAAUUGAGGGGGGCUGCUCCUAGUACGAGAGGACCGGAGUGGACGCAUCACUGGUGUUCGGGUUGUCAUGCCAAUGGCAUUGCCCGGUAGCUAAAUGCGGAAGAGAUAAGUGCUGAAAGCAUCUAAGCACGAAACUUGCCCCGAGAUGAGUUCUCCCUGACCCUUUAAGGGUCCUGAAGGAACGUUGAAGACGACGACGUUGAUAGGCCGGGUGUGUAAGCGCAGCGAUGCGUUGAGCUAACCGGUACUAAUGAACCGUGAGGCUUAACCUU